rnacentral:tRNA from 1 species
GGCUUGUUGGUGUAGUUGGUUAGUCUCCUUCCUUCAAACGAAUCAUAAGCUUUCAUCUAACAAAUAUCAGGUUAUCACGCUUGUCUAACACUUGCAAUAUUGUAAUGUCAGACCACAAGAGGUCGCCAGAUCGAGCCUGGCACAAGUCA